CUGGUAGAAAAGUUGCAUACAGAUAUAUAAAAAAAUAAAAUAAAAAUCUUUGUAAAACUCCACUAAACUCCAAAAAUGCAUUACUCCACUCAGAAUCGUUUUUCGUUUUCUAUUAUCUGCCAUUGCGUGUUAUAGAUAAACUAAAUUAUCCUAGCUGUAUAACCUAUAACCAUCACAACUGUUCAAAUGUGACCAACCCGUAAUUCAAAAAAUGCCCAGUUUUUU